UACGUAGGGUGCAAGCGUUAAUCGGAAUUACUGGGCGUAAAGCGUGCGCAGGCGGUUGUGUAAGACAGAUGUGAAAUCCCCGGGCUCAACCUGGGAACUGCAUUUGUGACUGCACGGCUCGAGUGCGGCAGAGGGGGAUGGAAUUCCGCGUGUAGCAGUGAAAUGCGUAGAUAUGUGGAGGAACACCGAUGGCGAAGGCAGCCCCCUGGGUCGACACUGACGCUCAUGCACAAAAGCUAGGGUAGCAAACGGG
rnacentral:rRNA from 1 species